rnacentral:lncRNA from 12 species
GGGGGGGGGGGGGGGGGGGGGGGGGGGGGGGGGGGGGGGGGGGGGGGGGGGGGGGCUCGGGGCCUGCUGCCGCCGUGCGGGGUUUGUUUAUCGAGCGUUUCGACCAUAAAUCAUAGUAUUGACAGUAGCGUUGUUCGGGAAGAGGCUCUUCUCCGUGCCCUCAAAGCGCGUGUUGCGGGUGAGGAGGGGUUUUUAGAAGGGUCUGGAGCGCACGUCACAUGAGGAGCAGCUGCGGGAGCUGAGGCUGUUCAGCCUGGACAAGAGGAGGCUCAGCAGGCACCUUCCCGCUCGACAGCUCCCUGAAAGGAGCUCGUAGCCGCAUGGGGGUUGGCCUCUUCCACCGAGUAAUAAAUGGUAGGACGAGUGCGAAUGGCCGGGAAACGGUCCCAAGUUGUGCCAUAGGAGGUUUAGAUGGGAUAUCAGGGAAAAGUCCCUCACAGAAAGGGUGAAACAUUGGAACCGGCUGCCUAGGGAAGUGGGGGAGUCACUGUCCCUGCAAGCGUUCAGAAAAGCUGUAACGAGCACUGAUAUGAACGUUUGGGGUUUGUUUGUUUGUUGUUGUUUUGUUUUUAAUCUGCCUUUUUAAAGGGAAUUGUACUUUAACAGAAUAGCACUAUUCCAUUAUUGCUGUUACAAGAACCCAGUGAUCUCGGGUGCCAGAGACGGGCGUGGUGGGAGCGCUGUCCCCCUGUUUACUCUGUGUUCCAGCAUUAGAGAAACGGCCAGAAAGUGAACGUGAGCAGAUCAGGAGUUAAGAAAAUGCUUAUCAAGGCCUUGGCACUCAGAGUUUCUGCCUGCAGAGAAACAAGAACAGAUGGAUACUUCCUUAACACCUGCUGCUGUGGGAGUCUUCUGAAACACUUGCAAAAUAUAACUACAGCAGAUAUCCCUUUGCCACGUGCCCAGUGAGGGCAACAUUAUGGCUGCAUACUCUGAAACAGGAAAAGGAGAACAACACUGAUGUUCCACAAGGACCUUUGCAUGGAUUUCAUCCACUUCAUGGAUUUAAUGAGAAAUGAAUGGGCAAGCAACAAAGACAAUGUCUCCUUGUAGCUAAAGAAAUCUCAGUCUGAUUCUGAUCGUUAGGCACUUAUGUGCCACCAUAUUACUGGUUAAAAUACUUUUCCAAACUCACUUUUUCUAAGCAAAUAAACAAAAUAGCAGCAAAAUCACAACCAUCACAACAGAGUGAAAAAAUAGCCAUUGCUGAUCUUGCAGAAACAUCCUCUUCCAAUGAACAAUGUGUGCUUUCAGACCUUUGACUAUGGCCAUCUUCAGAGACUGUGAAUAAUUGUUUACUCAUGGGCAUUUAUGUAAGUCCUUCAGCCGGUAAGCAUCUCCUUUUCCAAUUUUCAACAUAUUUUCUUUUCUCAGAGACAGAAGUGUCUUUCCUCCUGGGUUUCCAUAGAACCCUUCUUUGUUACAGGUCUACCCAAGACUAGAGUUAGGCAGUCAUUCAUUGUCCACAAUUUCUGUCUUCAUUUAAAACAAACAAACAAACAAACAAACAAAUUUCAUGUGUGCAAAUAAAAUCAUAGCAGCAUAAGGAAUACCAACUAUAUCAGUGAGUCAAUGUGUUAAAUUUUUGCCACCCCCAUUAAUUUGUAACCCUCUUGACUACUAGACCUACAGAGCUGGCCACAAAAUGACACCAUUAUCUUCAUCUUUGCUCACAUAAAAAGUUGUAUCAGAUUUUUUAUCUUCAAACCCUUGCAGAAGUAUUAACCUCACAUCUCAUUCCCUUUAGAGUCUGCAGCUCCUGAAGAGUCCAGAGUGCAGAGGCAGAUUUACCCUGAAGGACUGCAGUCCAUGGAAGGGCACAUGCUGGAGCAGAGGAAAAGUAAGUGGAGGAAGGCAUGAGAAAGAAGAGCUCUUGUGAGGUUGCAAUACUCAUUCUUUCUGCACCAGGCUCGGGGCAGGAGCGAGUUGGGGAUGAAAGAAUUAUGUGGAGUCUGGCAAAAGAGGGGGUUGAGGGUGGUGGGAAAGUGCUUUAGUUUUUGUUUAUUUGUCUUAUGUUCUUACUCUAUUUUAGUUGUUAUUAUUAAUUAAUUUUGUCCCAUCAAGUCUGUUUCGCCCACAACAGUUGCUGGUGAGCAAUCUCCUUGCCCUCAUCUCAACCCAUGAGUUGUUUUCUUCUUAUUUUUUCAUCCUGUCCCACUGAGGAAGAGCAAGGAGAGAGCUGCUGGGUAGGAGAUUGCUAGCCAUGGCUAAUCUACCAUACCAGUGUAUCAUCUUUGCAGCAUCUCUAAUUUGAUUUGUAUCAAAGGAGAGUAUUCAAAAAGUCACAGUUCUAGAAAAAAUAUGUGCAUGUAACUUCAAGUUCUCA